ensembl:lncRNA
AAACAAUAACAAAAACUGACGAAUGGCUGACUUAAAAAAAUACAUAUACUAUCCCAACAUGUUCAACUUUAGACUCAAAUAUUUAUAUAAAGUUAUAAUAUAAUUUCACAAUGUCUCUAUAUGCCUGCCAUUUUGGGCCAAUGUGUUCAACCAUAGUAGCUCAAUAAAGUUUCAGAGGAAAAAAAGCGCUAGCUUUAUUCCAGAAUAGCAUGUGUACUUUACGUCCAUCCGGCUAGUUUACAUUAAUCUGACGAGUAGUACACUAACGUCGUGAAGACGAAAACCAUCUCCCGACCUUUGCCUUCUACUGGUGGAUGGAUUUGUUCCCUCGGUGAUUAAAUAUUCGUCUAAUGCUAGCUAACGUGCUAACGCUAACGAUGAAAGGGCUCUCCAGUGGUACAUGGCAUUAGUAUGAAUGUAUAUUAUAAGUACUACGCAUAGUCAUAUAAAGAGACAUAUAUAGUCAUAUUGCAGUUUUUAAGAACUUCCGGGCAUCAUCAUAUUGGUUUAAACCCAAACAUCUACCACAGUUUAAGGAUUAGGGGGGGAACCAUCUCCAUCAUGUCAGACAUGGACACCCUGAUCGCCGGGUUCCAGACUCAGCUGUCUGAUGUCAUGGAGACCAUCCUGAAGACGGCGAUGUUCGAGGUGACCAGGCUGGUGGAGGACGGGCUGUUCGAGCAGCUGAAGAGCAGGUGUCACGAGGUGGAGUCUCUGAAGGUGCAGCUGCAGCUGACAGAGAGCAGACUGGGCGAUGGGGACUUUAUGAUGAGGACCAGUGAUGAAUGCCAUUUUAACCGUGGAGAUGAUCCUUUUAGUGCAUCCCCAUAUGGGGCUGAAGAUGGGCUUGAAACACUGAAUUCCGGUUCAGGUGUCACAGAAGAGUGUCGAUUGAAACAGGAGAUAAUCUUUAUGGACCAUCAUGUAAAAGGCUGUGGACAGAAAGUUCUGACAAACGCGAGGACAGCACAGGUGUCUGAAAAGCUCCCCAACAGUCUCAACGGUUUGAGUCAUUCACAGGAAUCCAGUGAGAAGUCUGAUGUGGUUGUGAAGGUGGAGAAUGAGGCCCAGCUGCCUUGUUCAGUCGAGCACCAAGAAGUCCUGGGGGUUUUAAACGACGGUG